rnacentral:misc_RNA from 1 species
AAGUCGUAACAAGGUCUCCGUUGGUGAACCAGCGGAGGGAUCAUUAAAGAGUUGCAAAACUCCCUUUAAACCAUCGCGAACGUUACCCACGACGCCGUUGCCUCGGCGGAGCGUCGCCCCGUGCCGUCAAAAAGUACGGGGCGGCGCCCGCCGGGAGACCGGCACAACCAAACUCUUAUAACCAUUGGCCUCUCUGAGUAAGAUUUUUAAAUAAGUCAAAACUUUCAACAACGGAUCUCUUGGUUCUG